AGCAGCCGCGGUAAUUCCAGCUCCAAUAGCGUAUAUUAAAGUUGUUGCAGUUAAAAAGCUCGUAGUUGAAUUUCGGGAUUAGUACGCUGGUCGUGCCUUCGGUACGUACUGGUGUUACUGAUUCCUACCUUCUGACGAACCAUCAUGUCAUUAAUUUGGUGUGGUGGGAAAUCAGGACUGUUACUUUGAAAAAAUUAGAGUGUUUAAAGCAGGCUCGCGCUUGAAUACAUUAGCAUGGAAUAAUGAAAUAGGACGUUGACCCUAUUUUGUUGGUUUCUAGGAUUGACGUAAUGAUUAAUAGGGAUAGUUGGGGGCAUUAGUAUUCAAUUGUCAGGGGUGAAAUUCUUGGAUUUAUUGAAGACUAACUACUGCGAAAGCAUUUGCCAAGGAUGUUUUCAUUAAUCAAGAACGAAAGUUGGGGAUCGAAGACGAUCAGAUACCGUCGUAGUCUUAACCAUAAACUAUGCCGACUAGGGAUCGGAUGAUGUUAUUUUUAAUGACUCAUUCGGCGCCUUACGGG
rnacentral:rRNA from 1 species